rnacentral:rRNA from 1 species
CCCUACGGGGUGCACCAUGCCAGAGCCUCGACCUUCUACCCUGGCCGGUGGUCGAUUAUACCGAUCUCGGGGCCAGCUCCACUGAUAGGAACACAGCAGGAUGCCUCUUAGACCCCGGGAGAUACAUAAUCUGGAGCGGAAAGAGAGUCUCCGGAUACAUAGGGGUAUCCGACGAUUGGAAGGCCUAUGGACCGUUUACCCUGAAGGGAGGGACAAGCUACCUCUUCGACGUCAGCGCCGGAACGCUGAAGCCGGUGGCACCGGAGGAGCUGAACUCCAUGCUGAAGGAGGUGGGACUCAGUCAGGCGAGGCUCUGGUACAAGCGCUCUACGGCGGAUCCCUAUGUCCUCUGUGUCGAGAUGGGCGAUGCCCCUUGAGGAAUUGGCGGGGGGAGC